CACUCCCGAAAGCCUGUGUGAUGUGCUAUCUAUGGAUUUCCCUUUUGAGAUGGAGAAACUGAGGUCCGGAGAAACUGAGGCCCAGAUAGGAGCAAGACUUGCAUGCCUAGAUCCUUCUUGUGUGCCUCUUCCUACUGCAAGCUGAGACCCAGGUCCCUGGUUUGGCUGUCGUGGCUGCUUGUAAAGUGAAGGUGCUUCUGUGACUGAAUGACUCCAACAAAUGUCCAAAUCCCUAAUCCUUUCCUCACCAAAGAAGAUGGCCCUUGGGGACAGCAGCACUUGCUGAGCAGGAGCAUGAGUCAGGUAGAUGGACUUCUCUUCUACCACAAACAGACCCACUACAGCCCCGGAAGCACUCCCUUGGUGGGCUGGCUGCGCCCCUACAUGGUGUCAGAUGUCCUUGGUGUAGCUGUGCCGGCUGGCCCGCUGACCACCAAGCCAGACUAUGCUGGGCACCAGCUCCAGCAGAUUAUGGAGCACAAGAAGAGCCAGAAGGAAGGCAUGAAGGAGAAACUCACACACAAGGCCUCUGAGAAUGGGCACUAUGAAUUGGAGCACCUGUCUACUCCCAAGUUGAAGGGUUCUUCCCAUAGCCCAGACCACCCUGGAUGCCUCAUGGAGAAUUAAAGAGAGAAGCCUCCUUAAGGAGCCACAGGAUGGUACCUGGCCCCAAAAGGAAUCCUGGAGAGGAGGACAGUGACAACAGGCUACCAAGCAGUUUCUCGAAGAGAUUAACAAGUGGACAGUUCAGUACAAUGUUUCCCCGCUGUCUUGGAAUGUGGCUGUCAA
ensembl:lncRNA novel transcript